CAAAAUGAGAUCCCAGAAGUCAGAAGGAAGACUCCCCGGCUGAGUUCAUUUCAUUUUGAAAAGAGAACUUUGCAGAGACGAAGAGAGAUAAAUAGAUAAGAAACAGAGAAACAUAACACACCACAAAAU
ensembl:ncRNA K07E12.3 ncRNA